CCUUCGAAACCACCCCAGCCUGCGAAUUCCCAUUGGUUGCAGGGUCCUCUGUGUGUUCUUGCCCCUCCUGCUUAAUUUAACCCAGUCCCUCCUGCCUCCCUCCGACAACCUUUUUCCCAUCCGUAGCCUUAAAUUCCCGAGCUGCCCGGGCGGAUCGUAGUGUUGAUUGGAGGGAUGAGAAUACCCGCCGGGUCCGAUUGGCCACUGUCUCCGCCUGCGUUCUCGGAGUAGCUUCCCUGCGGGUGGGCUGGAGUUCGGCGGCCGGCGUAGGGCGCGGCCCGGCAGGGCGGUGGGAGCCUCCCCGGGGCUGCUCGUGUUGCAGCUUGGGAUGAUACUGGCGGAACGCAGGACCCCAACUCCCAAACCUGCGGACCUUGACUACGGACGAGCCCUGUCCCGGCUCCCCACGUGCCCCAGGGGGACCAGAGCAGGCAGGACGCCUUCCAAGUAUUCAAGGGCCGCUGGUUGCCUACGCUUCGUCCCCUUGUUUCUUGAACAACCGUUAGGGACCAGGGGUACCCCUCAGGAGGCCACAGUCCGGGGCUGGGGCGCUCAUUGAUGCAGUGAUCACACUGAGCCGAGAUCAGAACAGGUAAUUCCGUAAAUGAGAGAGAGAAGCAAAGCGUUACAGGCAGAAGAGUCUAUUUGAAAUCUCUGAGAAAGGAGGAAGCAUGAUGGGAAUGGGGAACUGGAAUUCUCUAAUGCUCCGAUGACUGUCUAAGUGGGGGAUCACCCGGCAUUGACAGACUGGGAAGCUUAAGUGAGUCACUCGCCUGAGGUCACAUGGUUAGUUUGAUGCAGAGAAGACUCGAAAACCAGUUAAAGAACAGUCAGUGGGGCCCGGCCUUGUAGCUCACACCUUUAAUACCACCACUUUGGGAGGCCGCGGCGGACGGAUCGCUUGAGCCCAGGAGUUCAAGACCAGUCUGGGCAACAUGGAGAAACCCCAUCUCUACAAAAAAUACAAAAAUUGGCCGGGCUCACGCCUGUAAUCCCAAAACUUUGGGAGGCCAAGGCGGGCAGAUCACGAGAUCAAGAGAUCGAGACCAUCCUGGCCAACAUGGUGAAACCCCGUCUCUACUAAAAAUACGAAAAUUAGCUGGGCGUGGUGGCGCGUGCCUGUAGUCCCAGCUACUCAGGAGGCUGAGGCAGGAGAAUGGGUUGAACCCGGGAGGCGGAGGUUGCAGUGAGCCGAGAUCGCGCCACUGUACUCCAGCCUGGCGACAGAGCGAGACUCCGUCUCAUAAAUAAAUAAAUAAAUAAAUAUUA